UUAAAAAAAUACUAAAUUAAAGUUAACAAUGCAUAGAUUUUUACUUAUAAAGUGAUAUGCCAAUUUCCCAUUUAUCAUAUGAAAAGAGAAUAAAAGACAUGGCUAAAAUUGUAAAUUUUGUUCAAACUUUGAUCAUCUUUCUUUCUCUAAUUGUUCUUGCAAUUGCAACUACAGACCAUCGUCUGUUCUGUUCUACUAACGAUGAUUGUCAACACAAAAACUGUAGUGCUACUUUUGUUCCGAAGUGCCUUUGGAUUAUUUGUGAAUGCCACCCUUUCAAAAAGCGUAAACUUAUAUAUUAAAUCUAUGCUAUGCUCAAAGCUUAUUAUUUUCUUAUCAUGUGUCCUGCUCUACUAACGAGGAUUGUCAAAACAAUGAUUGUGGUGCUUCUUAUACUCCAGAGUGCCUUUGGAUUGUUUAUACCUGCCAACCUAGGAAAACAUCAAGUUAAAAAAUAAAUCUAUGUUUUAUUUUAAGCUUUUAUUUUCUUGUAAUUUAUGAUAAGAAUAAAUUAAAUAAAUACUAUAUUGUAUUAUUGUCUCGGUAUUUUUAAAGUUAGACAUGUAUUAAAUUAUUGUUCAUGUUAUA